AUUGAACGCUGGCGGAAUGCUUUACACAUGCAAGUCGAACGGUAGAGGGGGCAACCCCUCGAGAGUGGCGAACGGGUGAGUAAUAUAUCGGAACGUGCCCAGUCGUGGGGGAUAACGUAGCGAAAGUUACGCUAAUACCGCAUACGAUCUAAGGAUGAAAGCGGGGGAUCGCAAGACCUCGCGCGAUUGGAGCGGCCGAUAUCAGAUUAGGUAGUUGGUGGGGUAAAGGCUCACCAAGCCAACGAUCUGUAGCUGGUCUGAGAGGACGACCAGCCAGCCUGGCACUCAGACACGGUCGAGCCUCCUCCGGAAGGCAGCAGUGGGGAAUUUUGGACAAUGGACGCAAGUCUGAGCCAGCCGUUCCGCGAGCAGGAUGAAGGCCCUCGGGUUGUAAACGGCUUUUGUACGGAACGAAAAGGUCUCUCUUAAUACGGGGGGCUGAUGACGGUACCGUAAGAAUAAGCACCGGCUAACUACGUGCCAGCCGCCGCCGUAA
rnacentral:rRNA from 1 species